CCGGCGCACGGGUGAGUAACACGUAUCCAACCUGCCGUCUACUCUUGGACAGCCUUCUGAAAGGAAGAUUAAUACAAGAUGGCAUCAUGAGUCCGCAUGUUCACAUGAUUAAAGGUAUUCCGGUAGACGAUGGGGAUGCGUUCCAUUAGAUAGUAGGCGGGGUAACGGCCCACCUAGUCUUCGAUGGGUAGGGGUUCUGAGAGGAAGGUCCCCCACAUUGGAACUGAGACACGGUCCAA
rnacentral:rRNA from 1 species